GAAAUGAGUGAUGCCAAAGUAGAAAGUGAGGGGGAAAGGGAAAGUUCGCAGUGAAGGAGUCCUAUUAGUAAAAAAGAGGAAGGACCUCCUCAAAAGAAUCUUGAAUGCUGCCAGCGUGUCUAAGCCAAUUUCAUCCUCUGAGACCCCGCACUACUCGGCAGCCAGCAAAUGAGAGGAGGAUGAACGGAUGAGAGAGCCCCCAUUUUAUUCUCCUCUCGAUGCAAGAAAACCCCUCCCCUCGCUCACAAUUGGCUGGUCACUAGAGUUACCCUCUAUACGUGAAAGCUAGCUAAGCAGAAAGCGGGUCAGCAAUGCCUCAUUAUGUUACAUAUUCAUUUGGCGCUGGCCAAUCAGAGUAGAGCACAUUGUUUACUUCAACCAAUCAGAGGAGGAGAAGGCUAUAGGCUGCUGUUUCUGAAGUUUCAAUUUCUGUAUUUUCCCUGAGAGGAGUCUGCGCUCUCUUUUGCCCCCGCAGAUAAAAUGAUUAUAGAAUAAAGGAGGAAGAAGAAUGUUUCUUUCCCUUUUCCUCAUGUUAGGACUGACUCCAGGCAGAACGUCAAAGUACCUAGUUUUUCACUGGCCGCCCCUCUGCUCCCUUUUCCUGUUGCCUUUGCAUCUCUCCGGGUCCCUCUAGCCAGUACCCCAAAAGCGAAUUUUCCAGCUCUUCUCCCACCCCGACAUGCGUAUUGAGCCUCAGGAUGGAGCCGAAGGCGUCCAGCUCGAUCUCUGUGAGCCUUUCUAGCUCCAAUAGUCCGCAGCCCUUCACAGCUCUUCAAGCUAACUUCCAUAAACAAACAAAAAACCAAAACAAACAAACAAACAACAAAACCCUAUUCCUGAAGUCUGGCUUCUCCGUCGGGGAUUGGGGAGUGGGAAAGGACCAGAGUCAGUUUCCACUAGCAGUUCCAAAUUCUUCCCAACAAGAUGGUAAACAAUUGGAUGGAUAAAGCAGCUAAAUAACAAGUGGGUCAAAAGACAUCCAUCACCUGUGAUGUCAUUUUGGUUCCCUUUGAAUACGAAUCACCCAACCAACUAAAACUUGUUAUUAGAACUCC